rnacentral:rRNA from 1 species
AUACAUGCAGUCGAGCGGACAGAUGGGAGCUUGGUCCCUGAUGUUAGCGGCGGACGGGUGAGUAACACGUGGGUAACCUGCCUGUAAGACUGGGAUAACUCCGGGAAACCGGGGCUAAUACCGGAUGCUUGAUUGAACCGCAUGGUUCAAUUAUAAAAGGUGGCUUU